AUACUUAUCUGAAAGGGAAGAUACCAUGAUCACAAAGAUAGUUUCCACAGGGUGAGGCUCAUCCAUUGCACUCCAGAUGUGUUACGACCUCUGUGAUUUUACCAUAAGUGAGAAACAUAACUGCAUUAUUUGUGGUAAUAGGUAACUGUGUUCACACUCUCCCCUG